rnacentral:rRNA from 1 species
GACGAACGCUGGCGGCGUGCUUAACACAUGCAAGUCGAACGGAAAGGCCCUGCCUUUGUGGGGUGCUCGAGUGGCGAACGGGUGAGUAACACGUGAGUAACCUGCCCUUGACUUUGGGAUAACUUCCGGAAACUGGGGCUAAUACCGGAUAGGAGCUCCUGCUGCAUGGUGGGGGUUGGAAAGUUUCGGCGGUUGGGGAUGGACUCGCGGCUUAUCAGCUUGUUGGUGGGGUAGUGGCUUACCAAGGCUUUGACGGGUAGCCGGCCUGAGAGGGCGACCGGCGACAUUGGGACUGAGAGACGGCCCAGACUCCUACGGGAGGCAGCAGUGGGGAAUAUUGCACAAUGGGCGGAAGCCUGAUGCAGCAACGCCGCGUGCGGGAUGACGGCCUUCGGGUUGUAAACCGCUUUCGCCUGUGACGAAGCGUGAGUGACGGUAAUGGGUAAAGAAGCACCGGCUAACUACGUG